rnacentral:lncRNA from 1 species
UAAACUAGUCAUCGACACCAAACAAGACAACACAGUAUCGGGUUAAGCAUAAUACCAACCAAAAUAAAAGAAACCAUGAUUCAUGCAUACGAGACCAUAAUAUAAUUACAUCAAACAUCAUGCUGCAUUUAAUACUAGAAAUUAAAUCAGACAAUAACAGACCAACACUGUAUCAGACUCGGGCUCCACUGGCAACCUUAAUCAAUUAUACAUCU